rnacentral:rRNA from 1 species
UACGAAGGGGGCUAGCGUUGUUCGGAAUUACUGGGCGUAAAGCGCACGUAGGCGGAUAUUUAAGUCAGGGGUGAAAUCCCGGAGCUCAACUCCGGAACUGCCUUUGAUACUGGGUAUCUGGAGUAUGGAAGAGGUGAGUGGAAUUCCGAGUGUAGAGGUGAAAUUCGUAGAUAUUCGGAGGAACACCAGUGGCGAAGGCGGCUCACUGGUCCAUUACUGACGCUGAGGUGCGAAAGCGUGGGGAGCGAACAGG